GAUGAACGCUGGCGGCGUGCCUAAUACAUGCCAGUCGAGCGAACAGAUGAGGAGCUUGCUCCUCUGACGUUAGCGGCGGACGGGUGAGUAACACGUGGAUAACCUACCUAUAAGACUGGGAUAACUUCGGGAAACCGGAGCUAAUACCGGAUAAUAUAUUGUACCGCAUGGUUCAAUAGUGAAAGACGGUUUUGCUGUCACUUAUAGAUGGAUCCGCGCCGCAUUAGCUAGUUGGUAAGGUAACGGCUUACCAAGGCAACGAUGCGUAGCCGACCUGAGAGGGUGAUCGGCCACACUGGAACUGAGACACGGUCCAGACUCCUACGGGAGGCAGCAGUAGGGAAUCUUCCGCAAUGGGCGAAAGCCUGACGGAGCAACGCCGCGUGAGUGAUGAAGGUCUUCGGAUCGUAAAACUCUGUUAUUAGGGAAGAACAAAUGUGUAAGUAACUAUGCACGUCUUGACGGUACCUAAUCAGAAAGCCACGGCUAACUACGUG
rnacentral:rRNA from 1 species